rnacentral:rRNA from 1 species
UACAGAGGUCUCAACCGUUGUUCGGAUUCAUUGGGCGUAAAGGGUGCGUAGGCGGUCGUGCAAGUCGGAUGUGAAAUCUCAGGGCUCAACCCUGAAACUGCAUUCGAUACUGCGCGGCUAGAGUGCUGGAGGGGAGACUGGAAUUUACGGUGUAGCAGUGAAAUGCGUAGAUAUCGUAAGGAAGACCAGUGGCGAAGGCGGAGUCUCUGGACAGCAACUGACGCUGAGGCACG